rnacentral:misc_RNA from 1 species
AUUUCCCCAAUGGGUUCUCCGGAUUUCUGGAGACUUGUAGGGGUUGUGGGAUUUUUGAUGUGUCGUCUCCGGACGGGCGGUGCAGGGUAGUCGAGUUAGACUUGGUGGAAUUCCGUUGAUAGGAGUUCCGUCGAGUCUGGUCGGCUGUGUGUUGGACGGUGCAGGGUAGGCUGCUUGGACACGGUCGGUUCGAGGAUCGAUUCGAGGGCCGGCCUGUCGAUGAUGUGUGAUGUAUGCGGUCUAGGGUAGGCUGGUUUGUCUUGGUUCAAUUUGAUGUCGGCUCCCGUGCAGGGCAGAGUGAGGGGGGUCCAGGGUAGGUACAGGGUAGGCAGCUUAGAUUUGGUCGAUCAGGAGGUCGAUUCUCUGGCUGGCGGAUCUGACACUGUCGAAACGAGAUGCGAGCGGUGUAGGGUAGGCUAGUUUCGUCCUCGCCAGGUUGCGAUUUGGACGAGACAUGUGGUUUAGGGUAGGCUCUAGGGUAAGUAGAAUUCGAGUUUCGUCGCCGACAGUUUUCUGUGGGUGUAUGGUAGGUACAGGGUAGGCAAAUCUCUCUCCGGCUAGUACUUGUCUGGUGGUCGUGAGUCGAUUUUUUUGUUUU